AUCUAGCUGACGAGUCCCAAAAGGGACGAAACAUGUCUCAUGGAU
rnacentral:hammerhead_ribozyme from 1 species